rnacentral:rRNA from 1 species
GUGAACGCUGGCGGUAGGCCUAACACCUGCAAGUCGAACGGCAGCACCGUAAGAGCUUGCUCUUACGGGUGGCGAGUGGCGGACGGGUGAGGAAUACAUCGGAAUCUACUUUUUCGUGGGGGAUAACGUAGGGAAACUUACGCUAAUACCGCAUACGACCUACGGGUGAAAGCAGGGGAUCUUCGGACCUUGCGCGAUUGAAUGAGCCGAUGUCGGAUUAGCUAGUUGGCGGGGUAAAGGCCCACCAAGGCGACGAUCCGUAGCUGGUCUGAGAGGGUGAUCAGCCACACUGGAACUGAGACACGGUCCAGACUCCUACGGGAGGCAGCAGUGGGGAAUAUUGGACAAUGGGCGCAAGCCUGAUCCAGCCAUACCGCGUGGGUGAAGAAGGCCUUCGGGUUGUAAAGCCCUUUUGUUGGGAAAGAAAAGCAGCAGGUUAAUACCCCGCUGUUCUGACGGUACCCAAAGAAUAAGCACCGGCUAACUUCGUG